AGAGUUUGAUCCUGGCUCAGAUUGAACGCUGGCGGUAUGCUUAACACAUGCAAGUCGAACGGAAACGAAACUAGCUUGCUAGUAGGCGUCGAGUGGCGGACGGGUGAGUAACGCGUAGGAAUCUGCCUGAUAGUGGGGGAUAGCCCGAAGAAAUUCGGAUUAAUACCGCAUAAUCUAUUCGUAGUAAAGUGGGGGACUUUCGAGCCUCACGCUAUCAGAUGAGCCUGCGUAAGAUUAGCUAGUUGGUAGGGUAAAAGCCUACCAAGGCUACGAUCUUUAGCUGGUCUGAGAGGAUGAUCAGCCACAUCGGGACUGAGACACGGCCCGAACUCCUACGGGAGGCAGCAGUGGGGAAUAUUGGACAAUGGGGGCAACCCUGAUCCAGCAAUACCGCGUGUGUGAAGAAGGCCUGAGGGUUGUAAAGCACUUUCAAUUGUGAAGAAAAGUUAACGGUUAAUAACCGUUAGCCUUGACGUUAACUUUAGAAGAAGCACCGGCUAACUCCGUGCCAGCAGCCGCGGUAAUACGGAGGGUGCAAGCGUUAAUCGGAAUUACUGGGCGUAAAGCGUGCGUAGGCGGUUUAUUAAGUCAGAUGUGAAAGCCCCGGGCUUAACCUGGGAACUGCAUUUGAAACUGGUCAACUAGAGUAUGGUAGAGGAAAGUGGAAUUUCUGGUGUAGCGGUGAAAUGCGUAGAUAUCAGAAGGAACAUCAAUGGCGAAGGCAGCUUUCUGGACCAAUACUGACGCUGAGGUACGAAAGCGUGGGUAGCAAACAGGAUUAGAUACCCUGGUAGUCCACGCCGUAAACGAUGAUAACUAGCCGUUGGGGGGAUUUACCCCUUAGUGGCGAAGCUAACGCGUUAAGUUAUCCGCCUGGGGAGUACGGCCGCAAGGCUAAAACUCAAAGGAAUUGACGGGGACCCGCACAAGCGGUGGAGCAUGUGGUUUAAUUCGAUGCAACGCGAAGAACCUUACCUGGUCUUGACAUCCUGCGAACUUUCUAGAAAUAGAUUGGUGCCUUCGGGAACGCAGUGACAGGUGCUGCAUGGCUGUCGUCAGCUCGUGUCGUGAGAUGUUGGGUUAAGUCCCGUAACGAGCGCAACCCCUAUCCUUAUUUGCCAGCACAUUAUGGUGGGAACUAUAAGGAGACUGCCGGUGAUAAACCGGAGGAAGGCGGGGACGACGUCAAGUCAUCAUGGCCCUUACGACCAGGGCUACACACGUGCUACAAUGGGAAGGACAAAGAGCCGCGAAGCCGCGAGGUGUAGCUAAUCUCAUAAAUCUUUUCGUAGUCCGGAUUGGAGUCUGCAACUCGACUCCAUGAAGUCGGAAUCGCUAGUAAUCGUAGAUCAGAAUGCUACGGUGAAUACGUUCCCGGGUCUUGUACACACCGCCCGUCAUACCAUGGGAGUGGGUUGCACCAGAAGUGGCUAGUCUAACUUUGUGAGGACGGUCACCACGGUGUGAUUCAUGACUGGGGUAAAGUCGUAACAAGGUAACC
rnacentral:rRNA from 1 species